rnacentral:rRNA from 1 species
UUGUUGCAGUUAAAAAGCUCGUAGUCGAAUUUUUAAGGGAAUCAAUUUUAUGUGGUCUUAAUGAACUGCAAAGGAAGAUGAUUUAUCUUAUUUUAUGCUUUUGCACCAUUGGAAUUCGUUUUCUGAUAGUGGAGUAAGUUUGUGUUUACUUUGAGAAAAUUAGAGUGUUCAAAGCAGUCUUACGGCUUUAUAUUAAAGCAUGGAAUGAUAAAUAAUGACAUCGGUAAAUUUUUGUUGGUUUGAGAGACUGAUGUAAUGAUUUAUAGAGUUAGUCGGAGGUAUUAGUAUUUUAUCGUUAGAAGUGAAAUUCUGGGAUCGACAAAAGACUAACAACUGCAAAAGCAUUUACCUAGAAUUUGCUCCUUGAUCAAGAACGUAAGUUGGGGGAUCGAAGACGAUCAGAUACCGUCGUAGUCUCAACUUUAAACUAUAUCAGCUAGGGGUUGGCAAAUGUUUAUAUGACUUUGUUAGAACCUUAAGAGAAAUCAAAGCGUUUGGGUUCCGGGGGGAGUAUGGGUCCAAGGCUG